AGAGUUUGAUUCUGGCUCAGGAUGAACGCUGGCGGCGUGCUUAACACAUGCAAGUCGAACGAAGCACUUUAUUUGAUUUCCUUCGGGACUGAUUAUUUUGUGACUGAGUGGCGGACGGGUGAGUAACGCGUGGGUAACCUGCCUUGUACAGGGGGAUAACAGUUGGAAACGGCUGCUAAUACCGCAUAAGCGCACGGCAUCGCAUGAUGCAGUGUGAAAAACUCCGGUGGUAUAAGAUGGACCCGCGUUGGAUUAGCUAGUUGGUGAGGUAACGGCCCACCAAGGCGACGAUCCAUAGCCGACCUGAGAGGGUGACCGGCCACAUUGGGACUGAGACACGGCCCAAACUCCUACGGGAGGCAGCAGUGGGGAAUAUUGCACAAUGGGCGAAAGCCUGAUGCAGCGACGCCGCGUGAGCGAAGAAGUAUUUCGGUAUGUAAAGCUCUAUCAGCAGGGAAGAUAAUGACGGUACCUGACUAAGAAGCACCGGCUAAAUACGUGCCAGCAGCCGCGGUAAUACGUAUGGUGCAAGCGUUAUCCGGAUUUACUGGGUGUAAAGGGAGCGUAGACGGCACGGCAAGCCAGAUGUGAAAGCCCGGGGCUCAACCCCGGGACUGCAUUUGGAACUGCUGAGCUAGAGUGUCGGAGAGGCAAGUGGAAUUCCUAGUGUAGCGGUGAAAUGCGUAGAUAUUAGGAGGAACACCAGUGGCGAAGGCGGCUUGCUGGACGAUGACUGACGUUGAGGCUCGAAAGCGUGGGGAGCAAACAGGAUUAGAUACCCUGGUAGUCCACGCCGUAAACGAUGGAUACUAGGUGUGGGAAGGAUUGACCCCUUCGUGCCGCAGUUAACACAAUAAGUAUUCCCACCUGGGGAGUACGGCCGCAAGGGUGAAACUCAAAGGAAUUGACGGGGGCCCGCACAAGCAGUGGAGUAUGUGGUUUAAUUGGAAGCAACGCGAAGAACCUUACCAGGCCUUGACAUCCCGAUGACCGGUCUAGAGAUAGACCUUCUUUUCGGAGCAUCGGAGACAGGUGGUGCAUGGUUGUCGUCAGCUCGUGUCGUGAGAUGUUGGGUUAAGUCCCGCAACGAGCGCAACCCUUACGGUUAGUUGAUACGCAAGAUCACUCUAGCCGGACUGCCGUUGACAAAACGGAGGAAGGUGGGGACGACGUCAAAUCAUCAUGCCCCUUAUGGCCUGGGCUACACACGUACUACAAUGGCAGUCAUACAGAGGGAAGCAAAAUCGCGAGGUGGAGCAAAUCCCUAAAAGCUGUCCCAGUUCAGAUUGCAGGCUGCAACCCGCCUGCAUGAAGUCGGAAUUGCUAGUAAUCGCGGAUCAGCAUGCCGCGGUGAAUACGUUCCCGGGCCUUGCACACACCGCCCGUCA
rnacentral:rRNA from 1 species